ACGGGAGGCAGCAGUGGGGAAUAUUGCACAAUGGGGGAAACCCUGAUGCAGCGACGCCGCGUGAGCGAAGAAGUAUUUCGGUAUGUAAAGCUCUAUCAGCAGGGAAGAUAAUGACGGUACCUGACUAAGAAGCCCCGGCUACUACGUGCCAGCAGCCGCGGUAAUACGUAGGUUGCAAGCGUUGUCCGGAUUUACUGGGUGUAAAGGGCGUGUAGGCGGAUCUGCAAGUCAGAUGUGAAAUCCCGGGGCUCAACCCCGGAACUGCAUUUGAAACUGUAGACCUUGAGUAUCGGAGAGGCAAGCGGAAUUCCUAGUGUAGCGGUGAAAUGCGUAGAUAUUAGGAGGAACACCAGUGGCGAAGGCGGCUUGCUGGACGACAACUGACGCUGAGGCGCGAAAGCGUGGGGAGCAAACAGGAUUAGAUACCCUGGUA
rnacentral:rRNA from 1 species